CCUACGGGUGGCUGCAGUGAGGAAUAUUGGUCAAUGGGCGCGAGCCUGAACCAGCCAAGUAGCGUGAAGGAUGACUGCCCUACGGGUUGUAAACUUCUUUUAUAAAGGAAUAAAGUGAGGCACGUGUGCCUCUUUGUAUGUACUUUAUGAAUAAGGAUCGGCUAACUCCGUGCCAGCAGCCGCGGUAAUACGGAGGAUCCGAGCGUUAUCCGGAUUUAUUGGGUUUAAAGGGAGCGUAGACGGGUUGUUAAGUCAGUUGGGAAAGUUUGGGGCUCAACCGUAAAAUAGCAAUUGAUACUGGCAGGCUAGAGUACAGUAGAGGUAGGCGGAAUGCGUGGUGUAGCGGUGAAAUGCUUAGAUAUCACGAAGAACUCCGAUUGCGAAGGCAGCAUACUAAACUGCCACUGACAUUGAGGCACGAAAGCGUGGGGAGCAAACAGGAUUAGAUACCCCGGUAGUC
rnacentral:rRNA from 1 species